GGUCUUGAAGUCUUUGUGACAUUAAAUUGCAAAUUUAAAGGAGGGUAUACCCUAAGGCUU
rnacentral:tRNA from 1 species